GGAAGAUCCACAAGCUGGGAAAUCCUGUUCUGUUGGAGUCAGGGAAGUGUAGAAAUGAUGAAGCAGCUGCCUCCAGGUUGGUUUUGAGUCACCUCUGGUUAAACUAAUGGUACAUUAGUGGAAGUCAUUCCUUAUUCUCCGUUGAAACCACUCACCAGAUCACUCACAGAUAUACUGAGUAUUUCUAUCGUAACCUAAGUCAGAAGAAGGAUGUGGAGUUUUCAAAUGGUCAGGUUACCAUUGUCAAAUUGAAGGGGAGAACCGUGAUCAUUUAGCUGGAAGCGUCUUUUUCGACAUUUCAGGAAGGUGAAGAUAUUUCUUUCAGACUCUCUCUCUCUAUGCUAUA
rnacentral:lncRNA from 1 species